GAACGGGCUUUUAGUCUGCCACGACAUUAUUCUACGAAGCUUUCGAGCACACUGAACAUGUACCGGUGAAUAUGUUUAUCGAGAACUAUUUUUAUUUUACUACAUUAUCCGUACUGCCACUAGUGUGGUAUUGAGAAAUUGUUUGGGGACUUUAAAGCGCCUACAACCGCAGAUGAUAAUGAGAAUUUUUUGUUUAAGCCCAUGCGCCUGCAUAUGCAUACGUAGAUCUUUUCAUGGAGCAUAUUAGAGAGAAUUUCAUCGUUCUAGAGAGUAGUUAGUCUCUCCAUCCUCUUAUUCUCUUGUUUAGAAUGCAUAUUUUAAUGAUUUCAUAGCUUGUACAGGCUGGUUUUUUUUUCCAAAGAGAAUAUUUCUACACGAAAUUUACGUGAAAGCUUUUGAUUUCAUUUGCUUUAUAGGUAAGUUGCGUUGAUAGGAGGUGAUCGCAUUUUCUUCUUUUUUUCUUUCAAAGUUGCAGCUCGGCUAGCGGCGCUCGCAAAACCUAAAAAAGCGAAAACUUGGUUUUCAAUAUUGGUAUUGGAAGUUCUGGCAUGGCCUUGCUAGGAAAUAAAUAGUCAGCCACAAGUUACAGACGAUAUUCAGAAUAGAGGGGCGAUAAACAAAUGUAGUGUGCUGAAAAGUCUCUUAGGAUUACCAAUUCAAUCCUCUGAACAUCAUAAAUAAGAAAUUUUCUCAUACUCUCGUCGCGCAUACAAAAUAUCGGCAAUAGUACGAAAAACGCAAGAAAAUUCCGAGAAUUCAGCUGUGUGAAGAGCUAUGAACUUUGAUGAUACCUUAACGCACACUUUGAUGACUUCACACAUCGGAAAAUUGAUGCAGUUUGCUUAUAGGUAUAUAGGGUCUUUCAAGAAGAUCAGUCAUUUUGAAGUAUGCUCCCUAUAGAACAAAGGGGGCCGUGAACUGUGCUGCAACGUCCCGUUGAAAAUACAUGUGGUCCGUACACGUAGCACAAACUUCAGGUUAAAGGGGAUCAAUCAACCACGUAAUCCAUCCGCUGCAGUCCUCAAAGUAGCAUCAUUUUUGGAAUGUACACAUCACACACAUAAUAAGGCAUACUGUAAAAAGUAAAAAAAAAAAAUAAAUUGAAAUUUUUCAAACUUCAAAUAAU